UACGGAGGGUGCAAGCGUUAAUCGGAAUUACUGGGCGUAAAGCGUGCGCAGGCGGUUUGUUAAGUCUGCUGUGAAAUCCCCGAGCUCAACUUGGGAAUUGCAGUGGAUACUGGCGGGCUGGAGUAUGGUAGAGGAAGGUGGAAUUCCCGGUGUAGCAGUGAAAUGCGUAGAGAUCGGGAGGAACACCAGUGGCGAAGGCGGCCUUCUGGACCAAUACUGACGCUCAUGCACGAAAGCGUGGGGAGCAAACAGG
rnacentral:rRNA from 1 species